UAAUCAAACGAACGCGACGAGUGUAACGAUCAGCUCUUGUUAGUAUAAUAUUCUUGCUGUCAAGGUGAAAAAUAAUAGCAAUUUUAGACUUGGAAAAUUAGAGGUAAUCGCGUAUAGACUUUCCGAAAUUUCACAUUAUUUAUGUAUGCGACAAAC